GUAGCGGCGAGCGAAGCGGGAAAAGCUCAAAUUUGUAAUCUGGCGUCUUCGACGUCCGAGUUGUAAUCUCGAGAAGUGUUUUCCGUGAUAGACCGCAUACAAGUCUCUUGGAACAGAGCGUCAUAGUGGUGAGAACCCAGUACACGAUGCGGAUGCCUAUUACUUUGUGAUACACUUUCGAAGAGUCGAGUUGUUUGGGAAUGCAGCUCAAAUUGGGUGGUAAAUUCCAUCUAAAGCUAAAUAUUGGCGAGAGACCGAUAGCGAACAAGUACCGUGAGGGAAAGAUGAAAAGCACUUUGGAAAGAGAGUUAACAGUACGUGAAAUUGUUGGAAGGGAAACACAUGCAGUGAUACUUGCUAUUCGGGGCAACUCGAUUGGCAGGCCCGCAUCAGUUUUUCGGGGCGGAAAAGCAUAGAGAGAAGGUAGCAGUUUCGGCUGUGUUAUAGCUCUUUAUUGGAUUCGCCCUGGGGGACUGAGGAACGCAGCGUGCUUUUUGCAUGAGCUUCGGCUUAUCCACGCUUAGGAUGCGGGUUU
rnacentral:rRNA from 1 species